rnacentral:rRNA from 1 species
UACGUAGGGGCAGCAGUGUUCGGAUCGAAUUGUGGCGUAAGGCGCGCGCAGGCGGCCUCUUAAGUCUGAUGUGAAAGCCCCCCGGCUCAACCGGGGAGGGCCAUUGGAAACUGGGAGGCUUGAGUAUAGGAGAGAAGAGUGGAAUUCCACGUGUAGCGGUGAAAUGCGUAGAGAUGUGGAGGAACACCAGUGGCGAAGGCGACUCUUUGGCCUAUAACUGACGCUGAGGCGCGAAAGCGUGGGGAGCAAACAGG